GCCGGCGUAGCUCAGUGGUAGAGCAACUCUCUUGUAAAGAGUAGGUCGUGGGUUCGAAUCCGACCGCCGGCU
rnacentral:tRNA from 1 species